rnacentral:rRNA from 1 species
UACGAAGGGGGCUAGCGUUGCUCGUAAUCACUGGGCGUAAAGGGUGCGUAGGCGGGUUUUUAAGUCAGGGGUGAAAUCCUGGAGCUCAACUCCAGAACUGCCUUUGAUACUGAAGAUCUUGAGUCCGGGAGAGGUGAGUGGAACUGCGAGUGUAGAGGUGAAAUUCGUAGAUAUUCGCAAGAACACCAGUGGCGAAGGCGGCUCACUGGCCCGGUACUGACGCUGAGGCACGAAAGCGUGGGGAGCAAACAGG